GGGGAAAUGGCGGAACGGUAGACGCAGCCGCCUCAAAAGCGGCCGGGCAAACACUCGUGUGGGUUCAAAUCCCACUUUCCCCACCA
rnacentral:tRNA from 1 species